CACAGUCAUGGUCUCAUGGAUGACUGAAGUCAGGGAUCUUUAAACUAAUCGUAUAGUGUGUUUCAUCGACAUUACAACAACAUUUAGUAGGAUAGGCGUGGUAUGGUAUGCAGCAGUGGUGUCUUGCGUUAACCAUUUUAUCUAAAAAGGAAAUCACUUUUGAUUAUUUCACCAAGAAUAAGAGGAAGUUAUUCCAUGCUGGGAAAACAGACAUGCAUUUUCUCCCCCAAAUGUUCCAGCUAUCUGCAUAGCGAAAAUCGUACACUUUUCAAUAUCCUUGCUUCCCUACUCAAUGUCCCGCCACAGUAAAGGAGCUUCAUCGAUUCACUUGUUCUACUCUCCAGUGAAGAAGAAGCUUCUGUAUGGUGGUGAGGGAUGGGGAGGAGUUCACCCCAGCAACCACAGGCCUCGCUCUGGAUAUGUGAGAGAAGAUAGAUUGGCCUGAAAGCCUGCUUCCUGGGGCCUACAUUUUACUGACAUAGAAGUCUCUGACAGCUAAAGGCUGGAACCUUCUCAGUUGCCGCAGCGACCCAGGCCUGACAGUCUAUAAAUGUGAGGUUAUGGUGGAUCCAUGAGUGUCUCCUUUCAGCCCAACACUGAGUCUGUGUCCUAAUGGGUCAUGGUCAAAUGUAGUGCACUAAAUAGGGAAUAGGGUGUCAUUUGGGAUGCAAAGCUGAUUCUCUGCAACCAGUGCUCACAAGACAAUACAAAAUCAAUCUCCUUUGUUGCACUCGGUUUCUGAUUCAACAAGGCACAAUUUUCCAAAUUUCUUCUAAAGAGAGGGAGGGUUGGAAAAGUGCAGUCACUGUGACGUGUGGCCUGCAGAGGCAUGUACUCUAUGUACUGUAGAUAGUCAAACUAUUCCCUGGCUCACCGCCACAUCACAGAGACCCCCCACAGUUUGACAAAAGAGGACACUCAGAGGAUGCGUCCCAAAUGGCACCCUAUUCCCUAUACAAUGCUCUACUUUUGACCAGGGCCCGUAGAGUGAACUAUGUAGGGAAUAGGGUGCCAUUGGGGACACAACAAGCAUAUCUCUCCAGGAAUAGCUGGCCAAUUCAAUAGGACAGGGCCUCUUAAGACAGAAUCCAAUUCAAAUAGCGGCUACCUCGUAUAAGAUAGAGAGAAUACCGAGAUGUUAAGCCUACUCAUUCAUCAUAAUGUAGCAAACAUUUACAGAGUGAAAAUGUUAAUAUGACAUCUUUAUAACUACAUGUAAACCUUAACAUAGUUCACAUUGUUUGUUUGGACUGACACACACACACACACACACACACACACACACACACACACACACACACACACACACACACACGUUGAUUAUGUUUGAAUGAGGGACAACUUAUUUUUCGGUCCUUUAUGUCGGUUGGACAAUCAGAACCCAUUGGCUUGCAUAAUGCAGUUCAACCUUUACGUUGUAUAAUGCACAGUUAUUUGCCUUUCUGCAAAAGUUAAACACGGGUUCUGCUUCAGUGAAGCCAUGGUCAAGGUUAGCUAGGCUACACUAACCAGCUUUGUCUGUCCAUGACUAUUGUGUAGGGGCUUGUCCACCCAUUUGCGUCAGAUCCUCACAGAUCCUCACUCACAGCUUUGAGUUUUGUGAUGUAAGUACCCAUAUUGAAAUAUAAUUAUUAUACCAUGUCAGUCAUAUUGUGUGUACCCAUUAGUGUUCCGGUCGAAUUGCUGUGGUCUAAGGGUCAUUGUCCCUUCUGGUAAUCCUAUUUCUAUGCAUACCACUUCCCCUGGUGUGUAUAAUAUGUAUAGUGUGAUAUACCACUAGAUAGCUUCUGUGUAUGUUUAAGGGGGCAAGCCAAGCCUUAAUGGUUCAGAAAACCGCCCUCUUAACCACAGUUCCAGACCAGAACUACUGUGUAUAGCCUAGUCAGACAAAAUGAUUCCCCUUUUAUCAUCUCCACUUCACCCAGCUGUUACGUAACAUUCAAUCUAAUCAAAGCUGUCACUGAAACGUUCACGAGAGUAGAGGGAGAGGGGAAAACUGUGGAAACACGAUAUAGAUCAGUUGAUGUGGAUCCCAGGCACCGCAUGGAAACAUUGACAGAGAAAAUAUAUCUAAACAUUUGCCCUUGGUUGGAUGGGAGACUUUCAUGAUAAACAAACCUAGAACGUAAGUGCCUGUUGGGGAACAUUUAGCUAAUCUCCAUGCUGGAUAACAGGCGCAGAGAUGACGAUGAUGAUGGUCUUGGGUGAGGCUGGAGAUGUGGGUUGGCGGUAGUCAACUUGAUUUGCCAAUUGUGUUUAGUAUGAGUACUAUGAGAAAAGAUCAUUCAUGCAUGAAAUAAUCGUCUGACUUGUCAUAUUGGGCACUUCAAAGGAGGUACCUAAAAGACCAUGUGACAAUGACCCUGUUCGUUAUCAGGUUUGACAAUAGAUUUUAAGAGCAAAUCCUUAUUUUAUUGCCAUUGGAUUAUACUUCAUGGUCAUUUAAUGCCAUUCUGUAAAAACAUGUUUGGUAUUAUACAAGCAAGCAAAGAACAAUCGGUACCAAGGGUCUGUUCUGAUUUUAAUUAUGAUAGGUCUACAGAUUUCAUCCAUUUUCCUUAUUGCCAUUGGAAGUGAACCAUUUGUCUUCAGGGCACCGCGGGGAACCUGGCAAGGAGCUUCGGCAGAUUUCUUUUUCUUUUUUCACACUGACAAUAGAAUUUUGAAUAGUUGGAUUUUUGGUUUCAAAUGAAUAUGCAAACUUAAACUCUCCUUCUCACAGUGGGCCAGAAAGCUGUGUGUGUGUGUGUGUGUGUGUGUGUGUGUGUGUGUGUGUGUGACUGUGUUUGUUUGCGCUUGUGUGACUGUUUGCAUGCAUGUGUUUGUUACAGCUAUCGUUUUAUAAGAGAUCACUUGAGAACAUGAGUGAUGAGGCUGCGAGACUCACACCAUAGGGUGAGUUUCUUUGGAUUAUUCAGUAAACAUAUUGGUCUAGUCACAGUGUUCGUGCAAUGCUCCCCCAAUGUAGUAUAAUAUUAGAUUGUGCUUUUAGACUCCAGAGUAGGCCAUAAACAUCAGAAUGUACCACUCCUUUGGAGACAGCAAAUCUAGACCAAAAUAUUUGGCUCUCAUUGGUUGGUGGUUGUAUGCAUUUGGUUUUGUAACUUCAACAAGGGACCAAUGCUAAGACCAGGGUCAUGUGAAGUUGGCUGAAACUGGGAGGGACGACCUAGACUGAAGAGUGUCUGCUAAAUCAAUUACCUGCCCUGCACAGAAUACCAUUGUUCCCCGGUCAACCGGUGCUCCCCUCCUUGACUCACCAUAUGGCUUUGGCUAAAGAUGGCGUCAUCAGGAUCAGGGCAUGGACGCCUUGCAGACAGUGUUUUCUCUCUUCACACCUGUGUUAAUUUAUGGUGUAGCCUCUCAUUUGAUCAACACAGAGAGACAAAGGCCUCAAACAAAGCUCUCAGGUACAGAGGCGAUGACUGUGUUUGCUGUUGCAGCUCUGGGCCAUUGUUUAAAGAAAAUGGAUUACCUAUGUUCCAUUCAUGAACACAUUCUGGCCCUUCUUAAAUGGGGACGUGCUGGCUAUAUGGCUCUGAGUUAUAAACGAUUUAGCCAAUGAAAACGCUCAAAUCAAAAGAAACUACUGGGCCUUAGCCUCAAUGACCUCACUGUUACGGUCUGGAGAAAAUGUGUUUGCAUUCAUGUUCAUGUUAAUGCUGAUGACACUAAUGUUAAAUGUUGACACCAACGCUGAGAAAUAGAAUGCAUUGCUAUGUAGUUCUAUUGUAUUGUACAGUUGUCAUAAACAUGCGUGAGCACCUUAUAAAGGCUUAUCAUCUCACAACGAUUCAAACUAUUAACAACCAUUGUGUCAUUGAGGCAAUCUCCUACAAAGAGAAACAUAACGUUUAAUUAGGCUUAUAAGAUAUAAAAGCACGUAC